AUGGCUGACAUUCGCGGGCUUGCUAGUCUAAGUCAACUUUUAAGCAUGUUUACAUGUAAAUAAGGGUAUGACAGCAGUUAAUAAUGAAUUGUAAAACUAUUUACGGAUAAGUGAUAUCGAUUUAACGUAAUAAUAGAACUUUUAUGAAGUUAUUUAUGAAACAAUCAGCUUUUGAUGUUCGUACAUAGAACUUUCGUACACAGUGUCGGGCAAGAUAAAAAAAAUUACAACAACAAUGAACAAUUUCAACAAAUGUCUGGAUACCACAAUAUGAUUUCCCAUGGUAAUGCGUGAAUUGAAGUCAGACACCUUACCACCAUGCAACAGUAUCAUCGGGCAUUGUGAAGUAACAGUAAUGCAGAAUACCUACAUACCAUGAAGUUGAGAAAUGAAGAGAUGCAGCUGUAAAUUGUUUAAUACAGAAACAUCGUGGGUAUGAAGCAUAGAAAUCAUGUGACAAUGUGAAGUAACCGUAACACAGAAUGGCCGGAGACCAUUAACUUAAGAACUGAAGAGAUGCAGGUCAUUGUUCUAUAUGGUGAUUGAUGGAACUAUGGUGCAGUUUUGAAUUGAUAAGGUGUGCAGUUACAGAAAAGCAGAAUAGCUACAGACCAUGAAAGUUAGAAAAUGAAGAGUUGCGUGUCUCAGUUCAGCAUGGUGUAUAUGGGAAACAUUGUGGGUCACAGACAUGAAAUGAUUUGUGUGAAGUAACAGUAAAGCAGAAUGGCUACAGACAAUUAAUUCAAAAUUGAAGAGAUGCAGGUUUUUGUUUUAUAUGGUGUAUGAGGGAACCAUGGUGGAAAUUUAGAUUUCAUGGCAGUCAUAGAAAUAUCUAAUAAGUCUGUGGGACAGUGAUGUGUGUACCAGUCUGCCAGACUAUUACGUGUCUGGCCAGUCGACAUAUUUGCAAUGGAUGCGUAGAUUCUCAAAUAAUUUGGCAGAGUUUUCACAGUUACUAAGACAGAUUGCAAAAUUUUUUAGUACCCAAAACCCUGAAAUGAGAGCGCUUGAACAAUGUGAAGUUUGUCGCAUAGAAGGGGAUUCACCGCCUUUGUGUAUAUAAGUCUACAACUUCUCAGAUUUGACUGAAGACAAUUGUUUGGUGUUGUGAAUAGAGAAAUAUAUGAGGUAGGACUCUGCAGUUUUCCAUAAACGCAACAAGAAGUUCACAUUUAUUGCACAGAUUUGUGUCUCACAUGUAUGGAGUUGAAAGAAUAGUUACAGGAAAAGUGUACAGAAUAUGUAAGGAUAUGGUAUGUUCCUGCUGAAAAAAAUUAGACAGCCAAACAUCUUCCUGAGGAUUCGAUGCAGCAACCUUCUGAUAGAAGGAUCUACCUGUUGUGCAAAGGGGAUAAGCUGGCUUGGUGACAGUAAUAAAAUGAGCAGGUUUCAAAGGUUGGCCUUUGGCAGUCUAAACUUAAAAUGACUUGGAACAGUCGAACUAACCAAAACAUUGCAGUAAUACAACAUGAAGAAGAAAACAGCCCAGGUUUCAUAUACCGCCUCACCUUCUGGAAAACCAGGCCAGUUGAAACCAGAGACUGCAGGUACAUUUUUUGGUGAUCAUUUGACGAAGCCAGUUGUAGUGCUUUUACAGUUAGGGAGAGUGAGUUUACAUUUUGCUGGAACCUUGUUACAGGUACAGGUAUAUACUCCGGUUACAGAUUGCAGUAUCAGCCAGAAACCACAGCCAUUCUAAAUAUAAGAGGAACACAAUCAGACAAGCUGGCAAGAUGAUUUUACGUUCAAGAGUGUUGACAUUCUGCCCAAGAUUCUAGUCUGGAGAUACCAUCGGCAGUCUUAGAAUCUUUUUAUUUUUAUAAGAUUUAAGUUUAAAAAUGUGACAUUGACUACAUUUAAACUGUUUUCAAAGGCUUUUCUCUGUUUUUUUUUUGUUUUUUUUUCUGGAAAAUACCUGUACUGGAGACAAUUUUGUAUGGCAAAAGAAAACAAAGAAAAAAAAAUUAUGUUAAAAAUACUCUUUUUUAUAUAUGAAUACUUAUGAAGUGAUUUUAUCAUGUCUCUAAGAUAGUAUUACGCAAGAUUGCAGUGAUUGCUUGUUAGCUCAUCAGAGCACAAAGUACUCGAGGUGAGCUACUGUGACUGGUCAUUGUCAGUUGUGUGUCGUCCGUCAAUAUUUGCUUGUGAACACUAUAGAGGCCAUAUUUGUGAACCAAUCUUUAUAAAACUUGGUCACAAUUUUAAUCUUGAUGAUUUCUAGGUCAAGUUUGAAACAGGGUCAUGUGGGGACUUAAACCAUGUCAGCAGGCCAGAUCAAAGGAAAUCAUGUGAAUAAUUUAGAAGCCACAAUUGUGACCAGAUAUUUAUGAAACUUGGGCAGAAUGUAUGUCUUGAUGAUUUCUAGGUCAAGUUUGAAACAGAGUCAUGUGGGGACUUAAACCAUGUCAGCAGGCCAGAUCAAAGGAAAUCAUGUGAAUAAUUUAGAAGCCACAGUUGUGACCAAAUAUUUAUGAAACUUGGGCAGAAUGUAUGUCUUGAUGAUUUCUAGGUCAAGUUUGAAUCUGGGUCAUUUGGGGUCAUAAACUAGGUCACCCGGUCAAUUGAAGGAAAACCUUUUAGAGGCCACACUUGUAACUCAGAAUGUUUGUCUUGAUGAUUACUAGGUCAAGUUUGAAACUGGGUUAUGUGGGGUCAAAACUGGGUCACCAGGCCAGAUAAAAGGAAAAUCUUGUGAACACUCUAGAGACCACAAUUUAAGUUUGAAACUCAUGAGAAUUAGUCAGAAAUGUAUGUCACUUGGUCAAAUCAAAGGAAAUGAUUGUGAACUCUGUAGAGGCCACAGUUGUGACCUAAUCUUUAUGAAAUUUGGUAAGAAUGUUUGUCUUGAUGCUAUCUAGGUCAAGGUUGAAACUGGGUUAUGUGGGUCAAAAACUAGGUCACUAGGCCAGAUCAAAGGAAAAGCUUGUGAACACUUUAGAGACCACAAUUUAAAUUUGGAACUCAUGACAAAGCUUGUGAACAUUCUAGAGGCCGCAGUUGUGAUUCAAUCUUACAUAAACUUGGUCAGAAUGUUUGUCUUGAUGAUCUCUAGGUCAGGUACGAAUCUGGGUCAUGUGGGUUCAAAAACUAAGUAAGGAAGAAUGGACUAUUGACUUGUUUCCCAGAUAAAUCUGUUUAUGUCUAGAUAAGUGGUCAAUUGUUCAUAUCUCAAGGGUCUUAGUCUUCUGUAGCUCAUUUUGUAGAACCUCUUUUGUUAGUUUUUCAUCCAUUCAAAUAAAAACUAUUAUGUCUCCCACCACCCAGUGAUGUGGGAGACAUAUUGAUUUACUCCAGUCUGUCUGUGUGUGUGUGUGUGUCUGUCAAAAAGCUUGUUCGCACUCUUAAGUCACACAUUUCUCAUCCGCUCUUCACCAAGCUUGAACAAAAUGUGUUUGACCAUAAGAUCUUGGCCAAAUUCGAUAACUAGCCAAAUCGGUCCAGGCAUAUUGGAGUUACGGCCCUUGAAUUACCAAAAAUCAGCCUUUUAACUCUUUUCCGCACUCUAAGUCGAACAUUUCUCAUCCGAUCUUCACCAAACUUGAACAAAAUGUGUUUGACCAUAAGAACUCGGACAGGUUUGAUAAUGAGCCAAAUCGGUCCAGGCAUUUUGGAGUUCUGGCCCUUGAAUUGUAGUGAGUAAACAGUAUAUAAAGACUGACUUGCAAUUUAGAUGAUUAGGCAGUUGUGGGAGACCUUCGCUUUUCUCAAAAGCAGCUCUAGUUUUUAUAAAUUUUGACCUUUAACUAGAAGCCUUUCAAUAGCUGUAAGCAUUGUUACAUGAUUGCUGAUGUAAUGCAAGUACCUUUACUAGAUUUUACCUGUAGUUUGAUGUACAAAAAUGAUAGCUAAAUCAUUAACAUGUUUGAAUGGUAUAGUUUAUCAUUUACUUUAUUGUUUGAAAAGUACAAUUUGUCUACAUUUAUUAAAAUGAGAAUAGACAUGACUGUUUAUGCAGUAAAACAACAAGAAUGAUAACUGUAUAUAACCGUAAUAGAAUUCAUAAAUUGGUAUGAUAAAAAUCAUAUACCUAAAUUUCUUAAUGUCUUAACAGGUCAGUGGUAGCAAGCCUCACACAUGUCUAUUUUUUUUGCAAUACAGUUGAAUAAUCUAAUGCUAUUUCUUUUCUGUACAGAAUAUUUUCAAAGUUCUUAUACCUCAAAAAUCAUUAAAAUUUAAAUCACAAACAUUUGUGCCCAAGAAAUUAAGGGAUUUAAAUACGGCUACUUCAUGGGAGCUUGAAUUUGUCGAUAUCAAAUUUUUGGCAUAAAUGAUUGAUUGAUUAAUUUAUUGAUUAUGUAAUUGAUUAAUUACUUUUUAUUGGGAUUUUGUUCCUUCGAUUGAGCCUACCAUGAAAUUUAUAAAAAAACAAGGGCUCGUCGAACACGAAAUGCCCCCCUUGAUGCAUUCAGUAGUUGCACAAAGAACAGCAAUUAUUUGCCCACUGUAAACAAAAGUUCUAAUGUUCUGGUUCAAUGUGACAUUGACCUAUUGACCUAAAAAUUAAUAGGGGUCAUCUGCUGGUCAUGAUCAACCUCCCUAUUAAGUUUAGUGCUCCUAGGCUUAAGUGUUCUCAAGGUAUCUUCCGUAAAGGGUUUAAAUGUUCCGGGUCAGUGUGACCUUGACCUUUAGCCUACAGACCUCAAAAUCUAUAGGGGUCAUCUACAGGUCAUGACCAACCUUCCUAUCAAGUUUCGUGAUCCAAGGCCCAAGCGUUCUCAAGUUAUUAUCCGGAAACGGUUUAAAUGUUCCGGGUCACUGUAACCUUGACCUUCGACCUACUAACCUUAAAAUCAAUAGGGGUCAUCUGCUGGUCAAGAUGAACCUCUGUCAUCUUUCAUGACCCUUGGUCCAAGCGUUGUCGAGUUCUCUUCUAGAAACCGUUUAACUGUUCCUGGCCAGUCUGACCUUGAACUUGACCGAAUAACCUCAAAAUCAAUAGGUGUCAUUUGUUGGUCAUGAUCAAUCUCCCUAUCAAUUUUCCUGAUCCUAGGCGUAAGCGUUCUUGAGUUAUCACCCAGAGACCGUUUUACUGUUCCUGGUCACUGCGACCUUGACCUUUGUCCUACUGACCUCAAAAUUAAAAGGGAUCAUUUGCUGGUCAUGACCAACCUCCCUUAUCAAUUUUCACGAUCCUAGGCCCAAGCAAUCUUGAGUUCUCAUUCGGAAACCGUUUAACUGUUCGGGGUCACUGUGACCUUGAACUUUGACAUACUGAUCUCAAAAUCAACAGGGGUCAUCUGCUGGUCAUGACCAACCUCCCUAUCAAGUUAAUGAUCCUAGGCCCAAGCGUUCUUGAGUUAUCAUCCGGAAACCGUUUAACUGUUCAGGGUCACUGUGACCUUGACCUUUGACAUACCAAUCGCAAAAUCAGUAGUGGUCAUCUGCAGGUGAUGACCAGCCUUCCUAUCAGCUUUCAUGAUCCUAGGCCCAAGCGUUCUCGAGUUACCGUGCGGAAAUUGAUUGGUCUACAUACAGACCGUUCGACAUCUGCAAAACAAUAUAGCCCUCCUUCUUCGAAGGGGGGCAUAAAAAUAGUGCAGAACGACAAUUAAUAAUUCCACAUACUUUUGUUGUUUAGUUUUGGUUUGAUCAAUGCAAUAACUCGGGGGUUUCCCUUGCGUUAUUAGCAAUGUUUGUUAUAAAGAACUUAUGAGUCAGCCAUGCCGGAUCAAGGUCACUUCUUAGGGUUGAAGGUUUAAGCCUUCCAGUUUGUUUCAGCUCUGUAUCUCCUAACCCCUUAAAGGAUUUUCAUGAAACUUUGGUCAAAUGAUAACCUUAUCCAGUCAAUAUGCAGGAGUCAUGAGUUAGCCAAGGUCACAACUCGGGGGGUCAAAUGUUCAUACAUAACCUGGGUCAGAUGAUCAUCCCAAAAGACGAUGUGCUGAACUUACAUGCCAGCUGAAAGUAAUGGUCAAGGUCGCAAAGAUUUGAGCCUUCCAUUUUGUGUCAACUCUAUACUAAACCCCAUUGAAGGAUUUUCAUUAACUUGGCAAAUGAUCACCUUAUCAAGAUGAUGUGCAGAAUUCAUAAGUCAGUCAUGUCAGUUCAAGGUCAAGAUCACAGCUAAAGGUCCUAGGUUUAUCCUUUCACUAUACGUAACAGAGGUGGGAGAUGUAGCUGUCUUUCAGACUGCCUUGAAUAAUUAUUAAUAUUAGUAUUUGCCUUGUGAAAAAUAUUGUGUAGAAGAUGAAAAAUUUGGAUUUUUAGACAUGGCUUAAAUACUUCUUUUAUAGUACAUUGACAGGCAGCACAGUUUGCUUGUCCUUCCACCUUUAUCCUGCUGGAAACGACUGAUUCUACCUUCUGUGCAGUCUGAUCAAGAUUUGUACUGUUUGUUUUUCAAUUGGUAACUUUUUGGUAAGCACACCAUUUAACAGUUAAUGGUACUGUUCAAAUUUGAAGAUGGAUAGAAAUAAUAAUUGAUAUAUCAAUUAGAAUCAAGCACUUAAAUGAUGUAUGACCGAGGAUCACUGUUGUUUGUAUUCAUUGUACCUUUUCAGGUUAGGCAACUCUCUAGGCAGUGUACACUUAAAGGAUGUAUGACAGAGGAUCACUGUUGUAUGUAUUCAUUGUUCCUUUUCAGGUUAGGGAACUCACUAUGCAGUGUACAACGAUAUGGAAGUCAUGACUAAUACUGGAAUUCUGGGUUGUUGGUUCCAGUGUCCAAAUUCACGUUAAUGUGAAUUGAUAACAGGAAGUCUAAAAAUAUUUUAUAUUUCUAUUUUUAAUGAUUUUUUUGUGCAGGAAAUAUUAUAAUUUUCUCAGAUUACACAUAUACAGAUUAGCACUAUGACUUCGACGAUAUACUCACCAACACCUCAGUGGACAUGGUCAAGAAAGGAUUAAAAACCGUACAUAUGUUCUUAAAUUUAUAAGUUUCUGCUGUUUACGGUUUGAAUGAUAAGGUACGACUGACUAGAAAUUUCCUGUUAAUCUUACAAUUUCAGAAAUUUCCUGGAAAUCUUACAGUUUUAGAAAUAUCCUGGAAAUCUUACAAUUUCAGAAAUUUCCUGGAAAUCUUACAAUUUCAGAAAUUUCCUGGAAAUCUUACAGUUUCAGAAAUUUCCUGCAAAUCUUACAGUUUUAGAAAUUUCCUGGAAAUCUUACAAUUUCAGAAAUAUCCUGUGAAUCUUCUUGCAAUUUCAGAAAUUCUAAUGUCUAAAAGUAAUAUCAAUAUAUCUAUAUUUAAUCCAAAUCCUAGUUUAACUAUUUUCAAUUACAAACAUGAAUUACAGAAGCAUGAAAAGUGUGGUAGUAUUAUGAUAAUAUAAUACAUUCAUAAAACCAGAAAACAUGUUCAUUUCUUUAAAUAAAUCAAGGAAUGGAUCAUAGUGCAUC